rnacentral:rRNA from 1 species
GUAAAAGUCGUAACAAGGUUUCCGUAGGUGAACCUGCGGAAGGAUCAUUAUCGAGUUUUGACUGGGUUGUAGCUGGCCUUCCGAGGCAUGUGCACGCCCUGCUCAUCCACUCUACACCUGUGCACUUACUGUGGGCUUCAGAUCGUAAAACGGGUCCCUUUACCGGGCUUGCGGAGCGUGUCUGUGCCUGCGUUUAUCACAAACUCUAUAAAGUAUCAGAAUGUGUAUUGCGAUGUAACGCAUCUAUAUACAACUUUCAGCAACGGAUCUCUUGGCUCUCGCAUCGAUGAAGAACGCAGCGAAAUGCGAUAAGUAAUGUGAAUUGCAGAAUUCAGUGAAUCAUCGAAUCUUUGAACGCACCUUGCGCUCCUUGGUAUUCCGAGGAGCAUGCCUGUUUGAGUGUCAUGAAAUCUUCAACCUGCAAGCUUUUGUGGUUUGUAGGCUUGGACUUGGAGGCUUGUCGGCCGUUCUUGGUUGGCUCCUCUUAAAUGCAUUAGCUUGGUUCCUUGCGGAUCGGCUCUCAGUGUGAUAACGUCUACGCUGCGACCGUGAAGCGUUUGGCGAGCUUCUAACCGUCUCAGUUGGAGACAACUUUAUGACCUCUGACCUCAAAUCAGGUAGGACUACCCGCUGAACUUAAGCAU